rnacentral:rRNA from 1 species
UUACGCUGUUAUCCCUAAGGUAACUUAAUCUAAUAAUCAAUAGUAAUGGAUCUAAUAUUCAUAAAUCAAUGUUAUGUAAAUAAAAAAGUUAAAUAUAUAUUUUUGUCACCCCAACAAAACACAAAUAUAUAUAAAAAUAUUAAUAUAUAAAUAUUUAAAUAAAAUUAUGUAAAGAUCUAUAGGGUCUUCUCGUCUUCCAAUAGAAUUUUAGCUUUUUAACUAAAAAAUUAAAUUUUAAAACAAAUAAAAUGAGACAGUCAGUUCCUCGUUAAACCUUUCAUUCCAGCCCUCUAUUAAAAGACUAAUGAUUAUGCUACCUUUGCACGGUCAGUAUACCGCGGCCGUUGAAAUCCUCACUGGGCAGGUCAGACCUUCAAUUAAAUUCAAAAGGACAUGUUUUUGUUAAACAGGCG